UGCAAAAUAUCGCAAUUCGCCUGGCUAAAUUUCGAAAGUUGCCAGUUCUGCUUGCAUUGUGCACGGCUUCGCUUCAGAACGCACAUGUUUGCGCCGUAGAGGAACCAGUUUGAGCUCGAGCGCAAGCAGCGAAGGUCAAAACCCGCAGGACCCACGGCUCGCCUGCAAUGCGUUCGAGCAAAUGCCGCCCCGGCCCCCGCUCCGCUCGCCUCCGAGCCGCGGUCCUUACACCACCGCGCCGCCGUCGCCGCCGCGCGCGGCCGAGCAGCACUGCCUCCGCCUCCUGAAGCGCGCCACGACGCCGGCGUCGCUCCUCCAGCCCCUGGCAUUCCUCCUCAAGUGCGGCCUCCACUCCAACCCGCUCGUCCUCACCAGGCUCUUCGCGGCCGCGGCCUCCGCCGCGCCCGCGCUCCUCGAGCCCCUCGUCGCGGCGCUCCUCCGCCCUGGCCUCCCGCUCGACGCCUUCCUCCUCAACACCCUCAUCCGCGCCCACGUCGCGUCCCCGCUCCCCUCCGCGCGCCGCAGCGCCGCGGCCUUCUUUCCGCUCAUGCUCCGCCGCGGCGUCGCCCCCAACAAGUUCACCUUCCCGUUCCUCCUCAAGUCCUGCGCGGCGACGCCGGGGUCCCCGGACGCCGGCCUCCAGGCCCACGCCGCCGCCCUCAAGUUCGGGUUCGCCGCCGACCACUACGUCUCCAACACGCUCAUACACAUGUACUCCUGCUUCGGGGCCGGGUUCCUCGGGGACGCUCGGAACGUGUUCGACAGAACGCCCAAGGACAGCGCCGUCACCUGGAGCGCCAUGAUGGGGGGGUACGUGCGUGGCGGGCUGUCGAGUGAUGCCGUCGUGCUGUUCCGGGAGAUGCAGGCCAGUGGUGUGCGACCCAAUGAGGUGACGGUGAUUGGGGUCCUUUCGGCCGCCGCUGAUUUGGGCGCGCUCGAGCUCACGCGCUGGGUUGAGCGGUUUGUGGAGAUGGAGGGAAUUGGGAGGUCUGUGACGCUUUGCAAUGCGCUGAUCGACACGCUCGCCAAGUGCGGGGAUGUCGAUGGGGCAGUGGCUGUGUUCGAGGGGAUGGAGGAGCGGACUGUUGUGUCAUGGACGUCGGUGAUUGAUGCGCUUGCGAUGGAGGGUCGUGGGAAAGAGGCUGUGGCGGUGUUCGAAGAAAUGAAGGCUGUUGGAGUGCCACCUGAUGAUGUCGCAUUCAUUGGGGUGCUCACUGCAUGUAGCCAUGCUGGAAUGGUUGAUGAAGGCCGUGGCUACUUUCACUCAAUGAAGACAGAGCAUGGUAUUGAGCCUAAGAUUGAGCAUUAUGGUUGUAUGGUUGACAUGUUUGGUCGUGCUGGCAUGGUCGAGAAGGGGUUGGAGUUUGUCCGUGCGAUGCCCAUGAAACCAAACCUAAUAAUUUGGCGGACUCUGGUUGCUGCUUGUCGUGCUCAUGGUCGGCUCGAGCUUGGCGAAAGUAUCAGCAGGGACCUUCUCAACGAGUACCCAGCUGAUGAGGCCAACUACGUCAUGCUCUCCAACGUGUUCGCGUUGACGCAGAGAUGGAAGGAGAAGUCAGAGAUUAGGAGAGAGAUGAGUAAGAGAGGAAUUACGAAGGUGCCAGGCUGCAGCAUUGUUGAGCUUGAUGGUGAGGUCCAUGAGUUCAUAGCAGGAGAUGAGUCGCAUCCGCAGUACAAGGAGAUAUACAGGAUGGUUGAGGAGAUGUCAAGAGAGCUAAGGCGCAUUGGGCAUAUUGCAGCUACAUCAGAGGUCCUCCUUGACCUCGAUGAGGAGGACGAGGGUGCGCUUCAGUGGCACAGCGAGAAGCUGGCGAUUGCAUUUGUGCUCCUGAGGACUCCUCCUGGAACACAGGUCCGGGUGGUAAAAAACCUACGUGUAUGCUCCGAUUGUCAUGCGGCGAUUAAGUGCAUAUCGCAGGUUUAUAACCGGGAGAUCAUAGUGCGUGAUAGGAGCCGUUUCCAUCGCUUCAAGGAUGGUUCCUGCUCGUGCAAGGAUUUCUGGUGAUUGCAAUUGUGUUUCACCAGGUUAUCCUGUUUCUGAUGGUGCAGUGAAGGGUGGAUUGAACUUCAACGGCACGUGCAGGCGAUCGUGAACUCAUGAUGUAUUUUCGAGGAACUUCUGCAAGUCCUCGAGGGGCAGAUAAAUGUGUCUCCAAAUCUUGUGCUCUCUCAGUGGCCUCUCUGAGUUUCUUUGGCACUGUUCUAAGCCUUGUGUACUGAAUGUCUCAUCAGCACACAUUCAAGGACUAAGAUUUCCUACAAAAACCUAGACCAUCGUGAGAACAUUUCUAAUGUGUACCCCAGCUUGCAUCAUGGGCAGAUAAAUGCAUGUCUUCUGCUCUCUCAGUGGCCUCCCUGAGUUUCUUUGGCACUAUUCUAAGCCUUUCCUCAACUAUCUCAUUCCCCAUUGCUUCUUCAUUCAUGCAGUGAGUUUGUAACUUACUAUGCAUCUAUGAACUGUCUGCCACCAAUGCUUUGAAGCUUUCCCUGUUCUUGUACGCCCUUGCCUUCUCAUUAUUGCAGGGAGCUGUUAAGUCAAUCUCAGCCUCCUUGCGCAAGUGAUCGCAUCAUCAUUCACUACAGGGACUACAUGGAGUUGGCUUAAAUAUACCUGAAGCAGUAUUACAAGUCCAGCUUACAUUUGGCACGAUGGCAAUUGGCAAAUGCCGGAAUUCAACUGCACGUUUUCACUUUCCAUGCCCAUGCAGUAUGAAGCGGAAAGUAUCUUGAGCAUGGCGCUUGGGCGGUGUGGCUCGUUUUUUUUUAAGAAUGGUUUCUGCCUUUCUGGUCAUGGAAAUUUACGAUUCACAGAGUUGCUGCCAAUCAAGAAGGGUGCUGCCAUGCUUCAAUGCACAAAAUGCUAUGUUGACAUGCUAGCAUGGACCACUCAUGUUUGGCUUAAACAUGGGAAGGAAAUUACAACCAGCUGACGGGCCGAAGCAUCCAUGUCUCCAGCUAGGCUCUCCACAAUAUGCACAAGAAGCAGAGGACCUUGUCAACUUCAAAGUCAUAUUGCGCAGUCUAUUUGCCGGUUCUGAUGGCGGUGAGGGUGACGCAGCCUUGUUCCUAACUUUCUGGAUGGUGUCAGCAAAGUGCGCUAGCAUGAUAGGAUUUGAUGUCUCGCAGUUUUGUGAUGUCAAUGGCUAUGCUAAUCUUAGCCAAGGCUUAGCCUUUGCACAAGCUUAAUCAGUUCCUGGAGCUCUUGAUCAGCUGCCGUUUCAGCCAAGAAAACAUCCACUUUGACAAGAAGCUCCUCUGGUGAUGUCAACACAUGCGGUGAAUCCCCAAACUGACCUGACGAUUGGUGGUAACCACACGUCGCCUCCAUUGAGGAUCAAUGAGGCUUCUAGUCUGAGCAAUCCUAUGAACUCCCUGAUGUUCUUCGACGCCUUUUCAAGUGCUUUCACUGUGCUCUCCAGCUUGUCCUCAGCGCUAGAGAAGAGCGCCACCGAAGCGGUGCGGAUGCAUCAUGCCAUGCUGGACCACACAUUUCUCGUGAAAUACAGUGGUAAUACCAGCACCAUGCUGGUCAUCAUUGUUCCAGUGAGUGGCUUUGUCUGUUGCAUGAUGUUUGAACCUGAGAAGCACCUCGUCACCAUGGGCGGCAGCCUCCUUGAGCUUCUCCAGCCACUGGACCAGCGUGGUACUUUUUAUGGUCUGCUUCGCUCACACCUCGACCGCGCUGCGAAUCCUCAUGAGGAGCAGCUUCUCAUCAGCGGCCAUCUGCCAGUUGAAGUUCUACAUGAACUUGGACACUGCCCUGUCCUGUCACCACGGCGGCCACUGCUGCGGCAAUGGUGGCAACCACUUGUGCCAUGGCUAGCUCUCAAACAAGGUAUGUGACUAACUAGAGUCUCUCAAAUCUAUAAAUACAUAUAAUUAAGGACUGUUCUGAGUGUCCCCCAUCGCAAAAUGUAAAAUUAAGUAGUCAGUGAGUGUAUGAGACUGUGGAAACAACAAGUUAUGGACAUAGUUGGUGUCAGCCACCCUAAGGUCGACUGACACUAAGAAAAAAAACAUGGAAUUUGUUCGACGGACACAGCAACACCAAGCUGUCAAAGUAUUGCACAUCCCAAGACAGCCUGUCCCCAGUACGCACGAAACUGCAGAGAUCAUCUGCUUCAUUAUCAGAGCAAGCCGCUGUCUCGUUUCCACCUUUACCUUCGACGUGUGCCAGUGAUAGGUGUAGACAACUUUGUUGUUGCCACUAUCUACAGCCUCCCACUGGAUGGUCACCCACUGUGACGGCCAUACGAAGCCUUCCAAGUAGCACCUCUCUGAGCAUUCCCACAAGCUUCCUUUGUUCCAUUAUUAGCAUGUCUUCUAAUUUAAAGAGAAAAUACUUUUUACAAUGGAUCUAGACUUCCUGUCUUAUUAUUGAGGUGAGCCGCCUUGACAUGAUAACAACAAGUUAGCAUCUUGAACACAUGUAUACCAAUUUGCCGAAGCAUUCCACGGCCCUGGCUAAGCCCUCCAUACUAUGCACGAAACUGCUGAAUUGAUCUCUCUCUUGAUCUUGAUCACAUUUCACCAUUGGCUCGUUAUCUUUGGCUCUCAGUGUUUUGCGAGCGCUGAUGGUGCCAAGAACGACACAGCCUUUUAUCUUGGCCUCCCUUAGGAUGUCAGCCCAGUAUGCGAGCCACUUCAUGUCCCCAAGGUCGUGGCUAUCUGCCAGCUCGACGGUCUUGCAGAUAUUGGCAAACCCUUCCUCAAGCUUGUCAAGGAGCAUUUCACACUGUUCCUUCUGGAUAGCUGCCGUUUCAUUGAUCGAAAGAUUGAUCAAUUUGUUCACUACCGCAUCCUCCACGCACGGAGCUGAAAUUUUUGUGUCUUCCUCAUCUAAUUUGAGGCCAAAUAAUCUGCACCCUGAAUUUCUUGUGAUCCUCAUCUUUUUUCUUGGUCUAUGCUCUGUUGUUGGAGCCUCCAUACUCUCGGUAGAUGUUAGAUCUACCUUUGCCCAGUCCUCAAGCUGAAACAAUCUUAUGAACUCUCUGAUUUCUAUGGAGAGCUGCUCUAACAUGUCCAGUGUACUGUUCAGCUUUUCCAUGUCUUUGUCACUCGAAAACAGCACCUGGGUUGCGUCGCGGAUGCCCUGCACCAUGCCCAACAUAGAUUUACUUGUGAAAGACAGAGCACCUGUAGCUCUAGCAGAAGCAGCACUAGAAGAAGAGGAUGAGCCUUGCUGCUGGUUGGUGUCAACGCCCCUUGUGGCUUCAGCGUCUUCCGCCUUGCGUAUGAAGCUGGCAAGCACUUCGUCGCCUUGUGAGGCUGCUUCCUUUAGCUUUUCGCGCCAUCGAAGGAGCCACAAAUUCUUGAUGGUGCGCUUCUCUGACGCCUCAACCGCGCUGUGGAUCUUGAUUAGCAGCAUCUCCAGCCGCUGCAGCUUCUCUCCGGCAGCUGCCUGCUUACCAAACAUCUGUAUCAGCCCCGACAACACUCUGCUGGUGAGCUCCCCGGUUACAGCAGAGGCCAUAGGGUAAACUGUCUGUUCUGCCAUGGCCAUGGAAAUGGAGGAAAGGAGAGAAAGUGUUAGCAACAAGAAUGCUAACUUGUGCUCAUAGGUUGUAUCACCUUUAUAAGGACCUGUACUGUACAAGAAACCAAAAAAAAAGUAACAGAAUUUUUGGCUGUGGAUAGUUUGUCUGGUUAGAGGCCUACAUGGCGGAAAAAAAAGUCCUGCAAGAUAUUUUUUUUGAAUGAUCCGGCAAAUGCUGGCUUUGACGUAUUAGCACAUAGCAAAAGGAUAAAAGAUCAGAGUAAAGGAAAUAAACUUUGAAUAAAAGGACAGAGCCCAGAGAAAGUCUGGUUCAGGGCAACUCCCAGAUGAUCGGCAUCAGGCCCACCCGCCAGCCGCCAGAGCUCAGCCAAUCACCUAAUGGCCAGGAUAACCUGAGUCGACGAGAGCUACUUGUCAUUGAAAAUCCUCCGAUUAUUUCAAGCCAGAGCUCCCAUGAAACGAGAAUGAAAAGCGACUUGUUUCCUUUGAUGCACAUACUGCCAGAAUUACUAAUAGCUUGAGACGGGACAAAGAUAGUAGUUAGGCCAUCCCCUCCGCAUCAGCCUGUCGGCGCACCACAGCCAGUCCUCAAACAGCAAGGUCUCUAAGAUUAGCUUGCACUUAAUUUGUAUCAUCCAUGUACCGUUGUUACAGGUCAAAUGGAUUACACUUCACAGAACAAAGUUUGCUAAUGAAAAUACGAAUUCUGAGGUAUAAACUACGAAUUCUGAGGUAUAAACUCGAGUAUCAUAGCAUGCCAAGAGCUUGAGAAGUUUUAUUAAUCUGUAAUGAAAACACAAACUCGUUUUGGUCGUAAAAGGUGAUCGAACCAGCCAGAGACACUGAAUUCACAGAAGCACAACAUUAACAGUUCUAUGCGCAACAAUAAAUGUCGGCACCAAUCUGAGUUCAGACACCAUGUUAAUGCGAUCUUUAGAUCCAAGACCUUAACCUUCUCCAAGGCUGUGCGGCGCACAGAUAUAGUAGGCAGACCUUUUGAUCCAGCUGAAGACUCACGAGAAGUUAUCGGCAGAUGGCAGGGUGUUCGUUCUUAGAAUGCUGUUUACCUAUAGGACCCCACAAUCUGCCGGUAGCUUCUUGUGCGUCGAUAGCUGCAUUGCUCCUUGGUAACCAAUCAUUGCAGAACGAAAGAACCACUUGAUAUGGCUCAGGAAAUGGCAUGCAUGUAAUUUAUUCAAGAAAAAAAGGGCAUUUCUCAGCUAAAAAAAGAGGUGUUUUUGGAGUUGUAGCUUGCAACCACUCCUUGGUAGUUAUUUGUGUGGUGAUCUUACAGGAGAAGGUAAGAUGAUAAAUUGUAAAUGAAAAGGACAUGUAAAAUGACUACGGAGAAAACAUACCAAGGUAUUUAUUCAAGGAAAAAAAAUCAAGAGAUAAGUUAGAAAUGAAAGGCAACUUAGUUGCUGUCACCAUUGUUUUAAUCGCUCUGAGGCCAGAGAAUUUUUUUUUAGAAACAAACAAAUGAUGUGUGGUUGAUAUCUGUAUUAGAAUUGAAAGGAAUCUUUACAGCUUGCACAUUCUCAACAAUAGAAAGGAUAGUUAGGUAAGCCCUAUUGAUGACUCAGUAGAAGCGGGAAUAUAUAGUCAAACAUGCAACGUGAUUUGCAAAUGCAUGAAAAUUGGGCUUAUAAACGUGCAAAAGUUCUAAAAUAGUUAGGGAAUGCGUAUUGUGUAUCCAUAUAAAAAUUUCAAGACCAAAAUCAAUCAACCUUUUAAUAGGGAACAUAUAUUUUUUUCAAUACCUAUACUGUAACAGCUUUAAUCAGAAAAUAUUACAAAGUUACAAUCCAGAAAAAAGGAAAAAUCUCAGAAGUGUUUCCCUUUCGAUGCUUCCUACCAUCUUGGUUCCCAAACGCCUCAACUGCGCUGUGGAUCUUUGAUUAGCAGCAUCUCCAACCGCUGCAGCUUCUCUCCGACAACUUCCUGCUUACUGAACAUAUGUAUCAGCCCCUAGAACACUCUGCUGGUGAACUCCCUGGUUACAGCAGAGGCCAUAAAUAAACUUAAACUGUAUGUUCUGCGAUGGCUACAAACUCAUGUCAUAGAUUUUAUCAAUCUUACAAGGACCUACUGUACAAGAAACAUAAAAAAAAAGUAACAGAAGUUUUGGCUAGAUAGUUUAGACUUCAGAGAGAAAGGCUUGCAAGAUUAGCUGCGCUUAUUUUAUACCAUCUUCAUACCUUUCUUGUUACAGGUCCAAUGAUAUGCACUUAGUAUGCAGGAGUUACAGAACGAAGUUCAUUAACCAAAAUAUGGUUCUGAGUUAUAAACUCUAGUAUCAUAGCAUGCUAAGUGCUCGAGAAGGUCUAUUAAUCUGUAAUAAAAACACAAACUCAUUUUGCUUAUCAAAGAUGAUAAACCACAAAUAAAGGUCAGCACAAUCUGAGUUCAGACAUCAUGUUAAUAUGAUAUUUAGAUCCAAGAUCCUCACUUUCACCAAGGCUUUCCAGCACAAACAAAUUAGAGAAACCCUUUGAUCCAGCUGAAGACUUACGAGAAGUCAUCGGCAGAUGGCAGGGUGUUCUUGGAAUGAUAUUUUUAUCUCCAGACCCCCGCAAUCUGCCGGUAACUUCUCGUGCGUCGACAGCUGCAUUGCUCUUGAUAACCAAUCACCUCAGAACUAAAGAACCAGGCUCAAGAAAUGGCAUGGAAUUUAUUCAAGAGAACAUAUAUGGGCGCCUGUCAGCUCAAAGGAAGAGGUGCUGUGUUGGAGGUGUAGCUUGCGAUCACUCCUCGGUGGCUAUUUGUGUGGUGAUCUUAUGGAAAGGGUGAGAUAAUGAAAUAGUAAACGAAAAGGACAGCUAAAAAUGAAUAUGGAGAAAAGAGACCAUGAGACUCUGUGAACUACAAACAAAGAGAUAAGUUAGAAAGAAAAGACAACUUAGUUGCUGUCACCAUUGUUUUAAUCGCGCUGAAUGCUGGAGACAAAAGUUGGAAACAAACAAAUUACGUAUGGUUGGUAUCUGCAUUAAAACUGAAAGGCAUCUUUACAGUUUACACAUUCUCAAGAAUAAAAAGGACCAUAGGUAGGUCUUUUUGAUGAUUCAGCACAAGAUUUGGAUAUUUGGAGAUCUUGGCAACUGUUGUUUCAGGGAGGGAAUAUAUGGUUAAACAUGCCACAGUUGAUGCAAAUCCGUGAAAGUUGGGUUACAAACAUUUAAAAGUUCUAAAAGUAGCUACAAAAUGCAUAUUUGUAUCCACAUACCAUUUCAAAACAAAAAUCAAUCAAAUUUAACAGGGAGCAUAAAUUGCUUCAGUAUCAAAUUUGUAAACUGUAACAGCUGUAAUCAGAAAGCAAGACAAAGUUACACAACCCAGAAUGGAAAGAACUCACAGCAUUGGCACUGCCACCCAAAACUAUGUGGGGUCAACUCAAGCUAACCCUUCAAACUUUGUUGAAGUAUCAAAAGGAUGGAGGUAUUUUUAGCAAAAUCUACAUCUUGUACAUGGAAUUGCUGCUG